UUUAAGGGUAGGCAGUAGAGGUGAGGGUAUCUUGCUGGAGAUCCCUGUGUAUUUGGGGCCUUCCAAAGGAUAAAAUUCAGAGCUCAACCUGCAGCUCUAGUGUUCCCAAGCUUGUUUCCUGUGUCUGUGUAUGGUCUUGUGCUGCUGGGAUCUUCUCAGAGGAAACAUUGCUCACAAGAGAGCACUGCAGGCAGGCAAUGCACAUGGAAUGGCGGAUCUGUGUUCCAAUGUGGCCUAGGAAGGAGAGUCACAGGGCAGAGAUUUUGAGUCAGCUGCUUUUACUGUAGUGUGCAAAGAUUGCAAGCUUGGGAAAGCUGAGUUUAAGGCAAUUACUUCAAUUGCAGUUCAUUUUUAUUUUGGGUUACACCAAGACAGACUCACGAAGUCAGCUGUGAUAACAGAACUGGAUAAACUUUCUUCAGAUGAGAAUGAGAGCUAAAAGGAUUCCAAGUCAGAUUUUCAGGAAGGCAAAUUGAGUGAGUUCUGUGCUGAUUAUCACGGGUUUCAACUUCACUGCUGCUAUUCUGCAUCCAGUAAGCUGCAUUUAUGUGAACUGUUUACUCUUUAUUUACUUGUGUUAUGAGUCAAGUACAGGAAUGAUGAAAAUUUCUUGUGAGCCUCAUCACAUAUUGUGACUUGAACGACUCCCAAGGAGUAAUCUGACCUUUAUUGUGUUUUCUUACGUUUAUGACCACUGAAAGAAGAGCUGCGACUCAGCUGAAGUAGGGGACAAUGUAAAUAACUGACAUCUUCAAUAAACUGUUUGACAUCUGUAACAAACUUCUGGAAUGGUUCUUAAAAAUUCAGUUCUUCCAGUUCUUUUUGGAAGAGCAGUUUAUAUCAAAUCAAGGUUUGGGAUAUUUAGAGUCAAGCUGAUCAUGUUGUUCCAAAAACAAAAUAUGGAUAUAGUAUAAACUGAAAUUGGGAUUGUAUUAAUUCAAAUAUCAGUUAAUGUCUCUAGCAGCUAAUAGUUUUGCUGUAUCACUAUACUAAAGAUACAUGGCAUCUAAAAGUUCCAAGUUCCUUGGGUGGUUAUUCCUUCUUUAACUUUGAUUCUAAGGGGGAUAAAAAAAAGUGGUGUAAGCUUAGUCAUCAAAAGUUUGACCACUUCUCAUGAAAACAAACAGUGAAACCUGAAUUCUCUAAUGGUAGAAUGCUGAUGUUUCUUGACUAAAGCAUUUUUUACAAAGUAUUUUUUAAGCUUGAGUAAAAACAACUUAUAAGUCAGCAAGGAAGACACCUAGUUAGAAAUUGCCAUAUCAAGAAUGCCAACAGUGUAUCUUAAUUAAAUCCUUAUGGUUCUUGACAACUUUUUUUUUUUAAUUUAUUGAAUUUAUUUUAUUUAAAUUUAUUAUUUUAAACUGUCUUUGCAGUUCUAGCAUAGACAAGGAACAAUGAUUUGCAAAAUACCGUUUAAGACAAUGCCAUGUUUUAAUGAUUUUACCAGCCUUUUGCAGCAUGUCUAGUUUGACACACAAAGUAGUUAUUUGCACUAAAAACAACUACAUUAACAUAAGUAGAAGAUUCUUCUAUAGCUUUGUCUUUGGCUGCAAAGACUGCAGAACCAGAAUAAUAUACAAAAGCUGACAGAUUGGUAAGAAAGGGGAAUUUGGAUGGAAAAUAGUUCAAAGCUGGAUGACUUAUCACUUCUGCAACCAUACUCUGAAAUAGCCAGGGUUUUGCAUGACAUAAUUUCCCUUUUACACAAUGCACUGAAUCAAGGCUGCUAUUCCUGUAAUCUCAGUCUACAUGGAAGUCAUUAGUAGAUGUGACUCUGUAAACAGCAAUUUUCUUAAUUGUCUUUAUACUGAGCUCAUGAAAUGGGAAUUGCCAUUGUAAUUAGCACAGUAUUUUUCUUCUGUUACUGUUAAGGUACCUAUGCUUGUUACUUGUAUUUGAAAUCUGUGUUUGUCUUUUGUCAAGGGAAUAAUUACCACCAUGUUCUUUCAUUAAAAUUGUCAUAGUGUCCCAAUAGGAGAUCUUCCACAUAAACUGAGAGGCUCUGUGCACGUUUAAACAAAGAAACAACUGAACCUUAAGUUAUCACUUUAUUGUUAACUUUUCACCGUUUUCCACUUGAUCUCUUUGGUGUUGUUUCUGGCCAAUUGAUAAACUCCAUAUUUGUAAAGUUAUUUUCACAUAUGUAAGAGCAAGAACACUUGCUUUGCAAUCUUGAGUCACCAUCUGAACUGCCAAAAUUCUUUUUGUCUUUAAGACAUCUUGUAUCUGCACAUAUUGAUGAAUAACAAGUUGGGUUUUUUACUGCAUGUCAGUUGGCACAAUUUUACUUCCUGAAAUUAUACACACAUAAUAAUUUGCAACAUUUGGUAUGGCAUACAAAAUAGUAUUAUUAAUAUAACUUUUACUCAUGGCAGUAAUUUAUAUUAAUACAGAAGUGACAAUGUAGAGAUUAUAGGAUUUUGAGUUUUCUUAACAUGACAGUAGUGUUCUUAUGGUUGCACUAUAGUUCAAAGUUACAGAGGUUAUCCUUGCAUUUUUAAACGUAUUACUGUGAUCAAAAGUUAACUUUUUUCUUCUUUUUGUAUCAAACUUAGACUAAUUUACUGAGUAAAAAUGCAGAGUUUUUCUCAGAUAAACUCAGUAGCUCACUAUAGAUUGCUUAGAACAAAGGCCAGAAAGUAGUGAGAAAGCUACUGCUGCUGAUGAUGGAAGCACAUCUUCAGUACUAAAAACAUGAAUCUACAGUACUGGUAAAGAAAUGAGACUGUUAGUUGUAUGUCAAUGGCCUGUAGACUCUGAAAUCAAUCAUUAGGAAGAAAUUAGGAUUGUGUGACUUAGUUAAUGAAAUAUAUUGGUUUAUUUGUUCUGUUUUUUGUUGUUUUGUUUUGUUUUUU